GACGAACGCUGGCGGCGUGCUUAACACAUGCAAGUCGAACGGAAAGGCCCUGCUUGCAGGGUACUCGAGUGGCGAACGGGUGAGUAACACGUGGGUGAUCUGCCCUGCACUUCGGGAUAAGCCUGGGAAACUGGGUCUAAUACCGGAUAGGAGCCAUUUUUAGUGUGAUGGUUGGAAAGUUUUUUCGGUGUAGGAUGAGCUCGCGGCCUAUCAGCUUGUUGGUGGGGUAAUGGCCUACCAAGGCGGCGACGGGUAGCCGGCCUGAGAGGGUGGACGGCCUCAUUGGGACUGAGAUACGGCCCAGACUCCUACGGGAGGGAGCAGUGGGGAAGAUUGCACAAUGGGCGCAAGCCUGAUGCAGCGACGCCGCGUGGGGGAUGACGGCCUUCGGGUUGGAAACUCCUUUCGCUAGGGACGAAGCUUUUUGUGACGGUACCUAGAGAAGAAGCACCGGCUAACUACGUG
rnacentral:rRNA from 1 species